rnacentral:lncRNA from 1 species
CAAACAAAAAAUUCCUACCCGAGAAGACUCAUGACUCUGGAACACAGUGAGUGCAGCUGUUAUGGUAAGUGAAACAGCUAAUGAUCUGGCAGAACCUUCAAGAUACAAGGUAAAGAGAAAAAAGCCAGGCGCAGGGUAGUCCACUUGCUGUCUUUUGUGUGAGUCUAUCUGUGUUUUUAAAUGCAGAGACUAAAGGAAUUGGCGGUAGGUAGGCAUCGCCUCCAGAGAGUGGGAUUGGGUUACUGGGAGGCACAGAGAGAGGUGUACUUUCUUUUCACUGCAAACCUUUUGUGCAUCCAGCCUUCUGCCUUAAAAAAAAAAUCCGCAUAUGGAUCAUUCUUCAAACAACAGAAAAAGGAAACCAAAUUAAAAAAAAUCUACCCAAAGAAAAUUUUUUCAUAAUAAAAAUUGUUCCAAGCCUCAGAGCUGGCUCCCAUGUUUUGAACAACACCAACUAUUCAUGUAUUCAGCUGAAGCUCAUCCUUAGGUUUUUGAUCAAGCUGUGCCACGUUUUUCAUUUCCUUUGAUAGGGUUUCUCAACUCCCGUCUUGUCAGUGAAGUGGUUUUUAGUUGAACUGUUAUUUGCAAUAGAUGAAAGUAAACAGUGCAAGACAUCAAUUGUGGUGUUUCUACUUUAAAAGCAAUCAGAUAAAAUUCUAGAACAAGAUUUGCUGUUCAGUAGAAAGAUCAGAUUCUUUUCCCUAUACACUUAAUGCUACAUAUUCAUGCUCCAGCGCAGACUGCUUGCAAGGUAAAGAGGCUGACAACCAGAAUUGUAAUUAGGUCCUGCUUGUUUCCUUUAGAGUUUACAGUCCAGAAAGUUAAUGGAAAUAAUGAGAGUCUUACAGCAUUUUGUUAUGCGUUGAAAUGUAUUCUCAUAUGUUAAAGUCCUAAUCUCCAGUACUUUAGAAUGUGACCUUAUUUGGAAAUAAGGUCAUUACAGAUGUAAGUAAAGAUGAGGUCACACUGGAGUAAGGUGGGCUAUAAUCCAAUAUGAGCAUGUCCUUGUAGAAAGGGGAAAUAUUUACACAGCCACAUACACAGGGAGAACUCCAUGUGAAGAUGAAGGCAGAGACCAGAGUGAUGGUUCUACCAGACAAGGAAUGCUGAAGAUUGGCAGCAAACUACCACAUGCUAGGAGAGGGUGAUGGCACAGAUUCUUCCUCGCAGCCAUCAGAAGAAAGGACCCUGGCUAACACUGGAUCUCUGGCUUCUGGGCUCCAAAACUGAGGAAGAGUAAGGGGGAAUGUGUGGAAGUACCCAACAUGCAUGGGGAGAGCUGUAAAAGUCUGCCUGCUCUGAGCUGUGUUGGAAACCUGAGGAGGAAGUUGCCAUUAAUUUCUGCAAGAAAAAAAUGAAAGUGUACCAGUCGGAGUUGUUAAAGCAGAAAAGGAUUUUAUUGAAAGAAUAUAGGAUUGCUCCCAGUUUCCAGGAGGGAUGAUGAACAAGCUUUGAGAAGCCAGCAGGAACAAUGGCAGGCCAGGCAGGCAGAGCCAUGGCCAAGACUGCACCACAGAUCAACCUCAGGGAAGCACACUAAUGCCUCUACAGGGACUCAGACAUCUCAGUUUCAUCACUACCACCAAUGCCACUGAACACUGGACUUGGCUGCUGCUGCCUUCACCACUGCAAUGGAUUCUCUACUUUGCCUGUUUCUUUGUCCAAAUUCACAAUGCCAGCCUGCUGCAUUUAAUUGACCAGGUCUGUUUCAGUCACCCAUGACUUAAACUGCCAGGGGUGCUGGGGAACAAGCAUCAGGUUUUGGGGUUCCCAUGCUGGGAAGUGGGCAUGAGCAGUGAAUGGAGUUAAUAGAGGAAUAAUAUACCAGGAAGUUAAAAAAAAAAGAAAUUACAGUCAUCUACAAUAUUGAGAGAAAUGAUUUUUUUAUAAAAGCAGUUUUUCUUCUAUGCUGCCUAUGUGAAAGCAAUAAAUAUCCAAAGCAAUGUUAUGAGUAGUGUAUUAAAAUUAACAUGGGUAUUUUAAGACUUCUUUGGGAGGUGAGAGCAGGUCCAUAUGUACAUACAAAUCAUUUUUGAGAUGGCCCCUGGAGGGGGUUCUGUGGUAAGAACCUGAGAAGGGCCUCUUAGAGUAGUCCUGAUUGAUAGUUGUCAAGAAAACAGGGACUUUACUUGACAACUACAAGAAUCUUAAUUUUUCCAACCACCAGUGAACUUGGAAGAAGACUUCAAGUUUUUGAUGAGAUCAUAGCAUUGACUGACACCUUGAUUUCAGCCUUGUGAGAUGCUGAUUAGAGGACCAAGCUAUCCUGCUCUGGACUCCUUACUUACAGAAACUCAGAUAUUAGAUUUGUGUUGUAUAAAGUUGCUAAGUUUACGGUAAUUUGUUAUGCAGCAAUAGAAAACUCAUAUAGUGACAAACAAAAUAUUACCAAAAUGUUCUUCAACAGGGACAGAUUAAGUAAAGGAUGAUACAUUCACACAAUGGAGUAAUAUUAGUUUUAAUAGGAAUAAAGAAUAUCUGUGUGAGGUGUUUUUAUAUGCUAACUUUUGCAUAAGAAAAGGGGACUAUGAAUACAUACACAUCAAUGCUUAUAUUUUCAAUAAGAAAUAGUAGGAUGAUAAACCAAAUUAAAUAAAAAAUGGUUACUUAGAAGAGGAGUCAGGGACCAAAGAGGAGAAAACAGGAUUGACAAGAGAAUUUUGUAAAUAUACCUUGUUAUGUUUUUGACUUUGGUACUAUGUAAAAUGUUUACAUAAUGAAAGCU